rnacentral:rRNA from 1 species
UACAGGGGGGGCAAGCGUUGUUCGGAAUUACUGGGCGUAAAGGGCUCGUAGGCGGCCAACUAAGUCCGACGUGAAAUCCCAAAGCUUAACUUUGGAACUGCGUCGGAUACUGGAUGGCUUGAAUUCAGGAGAGGGAUGCAGAAUUCCAGGUGUAGCGGUGAAAUGCGUAGAUAUCUGGAGGAAUACCGGUGGCGAAGGCGGCAUCCUGGACCGACAUUGACGCUGAGGAGCGAAAGCUAGGGGAGCAAACGGG